UCAUGAGCCAUGAGAUCAUGAGCUGAGCCAAAGUCAGAUGCUUAACUAACUGAGCCACCCAGGCACCCCGAGAGUAAGCAGAAUUUUAAGAAGUUUACCCUUUCAUGGUAGGGCUGUUUUCAGGCUUUUUAUAGAAUUUGCUGACCCGAUAUAACAGGCUUGUUACUAUAGGCGUCUCAGUUCCUUUGGUCACCAAGUAAGAGCGGGGGGCCUGUACUGAGCCGCACACAACAGCCAGGCCCGGGGCGAGGUGACUCUGUCCGCACAGGCUUACAGUCAGGGGCAGGGAAGGGUGUAGGGGUGAGACCUCAACAGAAAGGAUUCCCCGUGAGCUGCGUUGAGUGACCAGGGGCUAUGGGAACUCAGUAGAAGGAAGAAAUGCUAAUAUUAGGCCCCUUUAUUAUAAAAAGAAAUUUUAUGCAAGAAAUAGUGGUUGAGACUCCCUUGAUUUGACCUGAUCUUUCCUCCAAUCAGCGAUCAUAAAGCAAUGCCAUAGAUUGAAUGUUUGUGUCACCCCAGAAUUCAUGUUAAAUCCUAACCUCCAAGGUUAGGUGUUAGGAGGCGGGGCCUUUGGAAAGUGCUUAGGGUGAGGGUGGAGCCCUCAUGAAGGAGAUUAGUGCCCUAUAGGAGAGACCUCGGAGAGCUCCCUUGCCCCUUCCACCAGGUGAGGACACAGUCACAGAUGUGGUCUUUGAACCAGGAGGCAGGUGCUCACCAGACAUGGAAGCUGCUGGCACCUUGAUCUUGAAGCUCCAGCCUCCAGAACUGCGAGAAACUCUGCAAAAGACCUGCCUUUGGAGGUUGGACAUGGUCAGACGCUGCCAGCUGUUUGGGAGAUGUGAGCUCAGCCUCGGGGGGAGAGCAAGAGAAAGCCCGAGGAUGGGAAAGGUUCUGGAAGGAUACUUGAAGAACAUACCCUUCCACUCUGACCCUGGGAGCCACCUCACCGAGAAGGGAACGACAUUUCCAGGCCUCUGUUCCGAGACCCCUGUUACUGCGGGCUGCCUUCCAGACCACUUCGGGGAGCUACUAAGGCUCGUGCCUACUCAGAAACAAGACAUCUCAGACAGUCCCAGAUGGCCAGCAAGGGGCAAACCCAUUGUCCCCAAGCCCCUGCUACCCACCUCAGGCAGGCAGGGACUGGAGAGGUCAUGGCAUUGGUACCUUUCUAGGUCCUUGGCGAUGAGUGCAGAGGAAAGUCUUGUAAGAGACCAUGCUGGACUUCUAAGCAAUGUGGGCCCCAAAUCCUUCUAUGUUUAAGUUGGUUUGCGUUGGGUUUCUGUCACUUGCAGCUACAGGAGUCUUCACGGGUACAGAGGCCAGCCACUUCCCGAGUUGCCAAGUGACCCAUUUAGGCUGUUCCCGCCUUAUCCGAUACCCCCCCCCCCCCCCGGCUGUGGUUUCUCCUCAUUCCGCAGCUCUGUCUCCCUUUCCUCCACCACUUAAACGAGUACUCAGGAAAGGACUGGCCGCUGUCAACUAUACUUUGAAAUUGCCCAUGGAAGUGAUUAUUGGAUGGGCCAGCCCCCCACCCCCACCUCCAGUCCUCCCUGGGUUGGAACUGUCACGUUCUAACUGCACCGCAGAGACGAUUGUGCUCUGCGCCCGGAACAAGAGGAGUCCUGUCUUUCCCAGGGUCGAUGCACCUGCUUGGGUCUGCUGUUAGGCUGCACGUUGUUUGUUUGCUUACAGCUUUGUUGUUGUUGUUGUUGUCGUUCUUUUUUGUUUAAAACACAAUUUGGCGUUUCUCAAGGCUGAUUUGCAGACCCACAGAAUGCGCUCAUUUUGCCAGCUCUGGGCUUUGGGGGAAUCCUUUAGCCUGAAUAACUGGCGGCCGGCUGUGGCCAAGCCCGGGCAGAGCUGAACCCAGUGGGGGUUGGAGGCCAGCCAGGCCGUGGCCUGUCACCCACAAUAGCUCUUCUAAAGCCCCUCCACAAAGGGUGACGCAGAACAAAGACCAGGGGGCAAAGUUAAUUUAUUUGGAUUUUUUUUUUUAACAACCAAAAAAUUUUUUGAAGUUACAAAAAAAAGACAAUCAUUUACAUUUUAGAACUUUUACACUCUGAGAAUAAGCCACAGUGCCCGGUUUUGGUGAAUGAAAGGCUUAAAAGAUCCCAGCCUGACUGGAUGGUAGUGAUUAUCUAGGUCGUAUUCUCCAGAACGGGCCUUACUCUGUCCAUCUCAUGAAUCGCUCUGCUCUGGAACUUUCAACUCUUAACCCUUUCGAUACCAAACUUCUUUGCCCCAGAAGGCCUCUUCCAUGUGUCCCUUUCCCUCUCUCUGUCCUUUGUCUGCCUUUCUUUGUAACUGGCUGCACGCGCCUUCACCCUGGUGUCUCAGCGCCAA